rnacentral:rRNA from 1 species
GCCCUUUUCCGGUUGAUCCUGCCGGAGGACAUUGCUAUUGGGAUUCGAUUUAGCCAUGCUAGUCGGACGAGUUGAGACUCGUGGCGCAUAGCUCAGUAACACGUGGCCAAGCUACCCUUCAGUCGGCAAUACCCUCGGGAAACUGAGGCUAAUGGCCGAUCUGGGACACCAGUUGGAAUACGGUGUCUGCUAAAGAUUUUCGCUGGAGGAUGCGGCUGCGGCCGAUUAGGUAGACGGUGGGGUAACGGCCCACCGUGCCAAUAAUCGGUACGGGUGAUGAGAGUCAGAGCCCGGAGACGGAAUCUGAGACAAGAUCCCGGGUCCUACGGGGUGCAGCAGGCGCGAAACCUUUACACUGCACGGAAGUGCGAUAGGGGAAUCCCAAGUGCGAGGGCAUAUUAGCCCUCGCUUUUGUUGACUGUAAGAUGGUCAACGAAUAAGAGCUGGGCAAGACCGGUGCCAGCCGCC